UAGCAAAUACUCUUUGCCAUUUCUUCAAUUGUAUUAUGGUUUUCUCUUCUCCUGCCGCUUCUUUUUUAAUCUAAUUGUGUCAAGUUUUGCUCAUUUUAACUUGCAGAUUUCACCAUGAUUAAUUUGAAGCAACUAAAGAGGGCGAAGCUUAUUAAAGGCACGAAAAUGACUACUACAUCUUCCGACCCUUCGCAGCCCAUUGCUGAGGAAGCUAUCCCGAAAGAUAAUAUUGGUCAGCUGGUGACCACGUCAUCAAAUACUGAUUAAGAGGUUGGUACGCUCGCAUCGCCUCUAUCUUCCUCUAUGGGCGUUCUCGUCUUAUUAAUGAAGAUGACUGCAUUGAGGUCAAGUUUACCCAUCCCUUUAGCAAGUGCCUUGUUCCUCGGCCAUACCUUGAAAAGAAAUACCGUACGAUAACGACUACUAUGCAGAUGCCUCUUUUAGCCAAAGAGCUCACCAAUCUAAUAAACUUUCCAGUAGACACAAGAGAGCUUAGAGAGCGUCCACCCGGGCGAGCUUCAUGCUCAGCAGAUGUCUCUCAUUCUUCAGGCUAUGACUUUGGGCAAUGCUUGAAAAUAUUAUGAAAGGUAGCUGAGCCAGCAAGCUUUGCAUGAUUAGACACGUGCCGAAACUGCUGAAUUUGUGCUAUGGAAGCAAGCCAACGAAUUCUCUGCCAAAAAGAAGAAAUUAGAAGGCGACCUUCAAGCAGCUCAGCUUUAGGCUGAGAAUGCAACUACUUAGCUCAACUAAACCUUAGCAGAGAAGAGGACAUCCAACUAGAGGGUUGCUGAUUUAGAGCUUGAAUGCACCUCACUAUCUUCGAAGUUUGCUGAUCAGUCCUCUACUAUCAAGAGCUUGGAGGCUGAGAAAGAAAGCUUCUAUUCCAAGAUGUCUUUUCUUCUUACCAGCUGUGAGGAGGCAGUGAAGGAGACUGUCAAGAAUGAGUUUUCAGAUGUCGAUUUGAGCUUUUUAGAAGAAAUGGACAUUGAGAAAAUCAGAAAUAAAUCUCGGAAGAAGGCUGGUUAGGAAAUUAAGGAUGGCGGGCAGGCAACGAUGGUUUGUGAUGAGGUAGCUAAUUUAAUUCCUCUUUCGGGAGACAAUCUGAAUGUAGAGGGUGACCUCAUGGAAGCUCGGGACACUGUUAAGAAGUCCGGAGCUAAAAAAAUUUUGUGAUCCUUUUCCAUAUUAAUGAAAUUUACUUUUUUCCUUGACCUAA